UACGUAGGGGGCAAGCGUUGUCCGGAAUCAUUGGGCGUAAAGAGCGUGUAGGCGGUCCGGUAAGUCGGUUGUGAAAGUCCAGGGCUCAACCCUGGGAUGCCGACCGAUACUGUCGGACUAGAGUGCGGAAGAGGCGAGUGGAAUUCCUGGUGUAGCGGUGAAAUGCGCAGAUAUCAGGAGGAACACCAAUUGCGAAGGCAGCUCGCUGGGACGUGACUGACGCUGAGACGCGAAAGCGUGGGGAGCAAACAGG
rnacentral:rRNA from 1 species